rnacentral:rRNA from 1 species
UACGUAGGGUGCAAGCGUUAAUCGGAAUUACUGGGCGUAAAGCGUGCGCAGGCGGUUGUGCAAGACCGAUGUGAAAUCCCCGGGCUUAACCUGGGAAUGGCAUUGGUGACUGCACAGCUAGAGUGUGUCAGAGGGGGGUAGAAUUCCACGUGUAGCAGUGAAAUGCGUAGAGAUGUGGAGGAAUACCGAUGGCGAAGGCAGCCCCCUGGGUCAAGAUUGACGCUCAUGCACGAAAGCGUGGGGAGCAAACAGG